UGAAUUACCAGCUGUGAAGAGGGCCAUU
rnacentral:piRNA from 1 species